rnacentral:rRNA from 1 species
AACGAACGCUGGCGGCAGGCUUAACACAUGCAAGUCGAGCGCCCCGCAAGGGGAGCGGCAGACGGGUGAGUAACGCGUGGGAAUCUACCCAUCUCUACGGAAUAACUCAGGGAAACUUGUGCUAAUACCGUAUACGCCCUUUGGGGGAAAGAUUUAUCGGAGAUGGAUGAGCCCGCGUUGGAUUAGCUAGUUGGUGGGGUAAAGGCCUACCAAGGCGACGAUCCAUAGCUGGUCUGAGAGGAUGAUCAGCCACAUUGGGACUGAGACACGGCCCAAACUCCUACGGGAGGCAGCAGUGGGGAAUAUUGGACAAUGGGCGCAAGCCUGAUCCAGCCAUGCCGCGUGAGUGAUGAAGGCCUUAGGGUUGUAAAGCUCUUUCACCGGAGAAGAUAAUGACGGUAUCCGGAGAAGAAGCCCCGGCUAACUUCGUG